UGGAGCUCAGCCCCAGAAGGAAACAGUCUGGAAUCCUUCCCUGAGAGCCACCCUGCCCUCCCACCCGAGAUGGCCACUGAUAGCCGCCUGGCCUUAUCAGCCAGGUGCGGGACCCCUGGGAUAACACCGGCUGAGGAGACAGUGAGCGCUUCCCAGGCACCGGGCUGGUGGGAGAGGGGCCUGCCCGCCUGCCCGCCUGCCUGCCCACCAGCCUGGCCCCCGAGCCAGCGUCUUGAAUCGAGCAAAGCAGUGGCAAGACAGAAGUGGCGCCUGCUGGAAAGAGACAGAGCGUCUCCUUGAUUUCCUAACAGGCCCAGCCAUAUGCCAGGGGCGGACAGGCCAGCUCAGAACGCCGGGCCUGGCUUGCGAAACAGUCCUUUCCUCCUCUGGGUCUAAGGAUGCAUCCUGCCCUUAUCUGCCUCUGGGUUUUGCUGACAAUUCUCUUGGCUGAGCAUGCCUUUUCUGAUCUUGGCUCCAUUGACCAGAUCCCUUAAGAACAAUGAGGGUGCUUUUCGCUUCCCGGAAGCUGGCAGGGAGUUCCUCUAAAGCGCAGGUUGGAGUGGUCAGAAGGGAGCGAACUGACAGCACGAGGAAGGCUCAGCGCAUGCCAGCUCCACUCACGGGAAAUGACUCACUGCAGCCCUGCUGCUCUCGGGCUCCGGGGGACACAUCCACAUUUCCUGUAUCUCGGCUAGAGCCUUGGGCAGUGUGAGCUGGCAGGGCAGAUCGCUGAAGGCGGCUAGAGAUAGAAAACCACCCAGCUCUGCAUCCUGAGACAAAGAAGCCUUUCCCUGGGCUCAUAUGAUAGAGGUACGUUGCCUCUGGGCCUCAGUUUUGCCAUCUGUAAAAUAGGGUGAAGGUCAGACUAGAUUGGGCAUAUUCAGUGUGGGAUCCCCCUAAUGACGGCAUCAGCAUCACCUGGGAAACUGCAAAUUCUCCUUUAUGACAGUGGCUCUCAAACUUUAAUGUGCAUUGAAACCAUCUGGAGGAGAGGAGCGUUUCCCACUUGAGAACCACACAGCGGGAUCAGGGAGGGGCGAACUAUAGUCCACCGGCCAAAUCUGGCCAUGGCCUGCUUUUUAUGGCCCAUGAGCUAAGAAUAGUUUUUUCCAUUUUUCAGUAGUUGGGGAAAAAAAUCAAAGAAUAUUUUGUGACAUAUACAAAUUAUAUGAAAUUCAAAUCUCAGUGUCCAUAAAUAAGGUUUCGUUGGCACACAGUCACUCUCAGUCAUUUGCAUAUCGUCUACGGCUGCUUUUUCCGCUAUGAAGACAGAGUGGAGGCGCUUGCUCUCCUGGUUACAUGCUGCUGCUCACGCCCUACACCUCGCAGGGAUGUGGUUAAACUCGGCUUUGCCUCUUGGCCUGCAGAGCCUAAAAUAUUUACUAUCUGGCCCUUCAUACCAGACAUUUGCCGACCCUCAUCUACAGAGAGAAGGGAAAGGAAGAGAACGGGAGGGGAGGGGAGGGGAAAGGAGGGGGAAGGGGAGAGAAGGGGUUUGUGCAAGAGCUGGGGUCCCUUCUGGGGAAAAAAUGAGCUGUCAGGGGCUUUUGGAAUCUGAGAGAGUCCUGCUCUGCGCUGGGCCAACAUUUGGAAUCUUUUGCACAGUUGCUUUGAGGGUGAUCUGGAAGGCCCCUCUGACCAAUAAAGACCUUCCCUCUUGCCUGUAUGAAAACCUAACAUUCCACUUCUAGAGCAGGGGCUCUUACCUGGGAAGCCCCCCAUCCAGAGGCCAGGCUUCGGGGGUUCUAGGUAAGCUUUUAAGCAUGCAGGUGUUUUCUGGGGAGAGUUUGGUGGCGCCAGUGACCUUCCCUACCCCUCCCAAAUCCCAAGCACCCUUUUUGUUCCUUUGGGGCACACAUUUUUCUCUCCCCACCCCUCCUUUCAAAAUGUGAAAGUCCCCGGAAGGGGGACACUGUGCACCUACAUCUUCCUACCUAGGAAAGGGGUGAGGUGAUCUGAUGGGACUAGGCAGGCUUUAGGAACGUCCAAGGAGUCUGAGGAGAGGUGGAGGGCGGCGGGGGCAGGGGGGCAUUUAGAGAGAGGAAAUGGGAAAGAGGGCAUCUUUCCCAGAGGGCUGCAGGACCUCCGAGCCCACACUAUCUGUACUCAUCCACUUCUCCGCAUCAGCAAGAGGCAUCCAAGACUCGCAGCCCACACGGCUACCCUCCCACCCUCACUGGUGGGCACUUCCACUCCCCAGGCCCCACGAGGCCUCCCGCCUGCAGCGUUAGCCAAGCAAGUCUCAACUCUGGCCCUGGGAUUCCAGGUAUUUUCCCAGCCAGCCGCACCUCAUCUAAUUGCUUUCCAGUCAGCUAAUCCCUGGCCCACGCCCUCCACUCCAGCCAGGCAAGCCACCUCUGUGUGGCCAGCAGGAGCUUCUGAGACUUCCCAUGGCAUGCAUCCAAGCCUGGGGCAGCCUCUCGCCUCCCCUUGCCCAAACCACAUCCUCUUUGCCCUUCCCCACACCUCAAACUCUCCUCUGACUAACAUUUCCAAAAAAAGUAGAGCUUGGUCCAGUCCAGACCAAAAGCGGCAGACUAAUUCAUUCCCUACCACCUCCGCCCCCCAGACUCAGCACUUCCUGACUAUCAGGAAAGAACAAUCAGCAAAAAGUGGAGCUGUACCUACUGUUCAAUUUCUAGAGCUAAUUGUUUUCAGCAGGGUUUUGGCCUUAAUUAAAGGAUAAUUAAUUACUGAAUGUGUGUUUGCAUUUCCACAAGUGUGUUUGCGUUUCCUAAGUCUGGCUUUUAACCCUGGGAAACCAGAUUCAGCAAAUACUUUCAUGUUUCAAUACUUCUGAGUAAGGGAGAAGGUCUUAAUUACAGAAAUGGUAGUCCUGUGUAAUCAAGGGGCAAUGCAAGAAUGAGCUAAUUGUGCCUUCCACACACUCGGCCACGAUUUCUGUCGAGCUGCUGUGAGGAGAGGGUGGCAGCUGCCCAGCCCUGCCCAGCACUGUGUCCCUAUCCGUGGAUUCUCUUAUCCCUGUCACGCAACUGGCCACCCCUGCCACAGCCCUUCUCUUCCCUUUCUAUGUGUUUCUUCUUUCCUACCUUUUCCCCCUCUUUAGCACUUUGGGAGGCUGAGGCGGGAUUGCUUGAGCCCAGGAGUUUGAGACCAGCCUGGGCCACAUGGCAAACCCCGUCUCUACUAAAAAUACAAAAAAUUAGCCGGGGGUGGUGGUGCACACCUGGAGUCCCAACUACUUGGGGGGCUGAGGUGGGAUGAUUGUUUGAGCCUGGGAGGUUGAGGCUGCAGUGAGUCCUGAUUGUGCCACUGCAUUCCAGCCUAGGUGACAAAGGGAGACCCUGUCUUAAAAAAAAAAAAAAAAGAAGGACCACGUUUUCCAGACCCUGCAGGGAGCUCUCCAGCCAGGCAGCCCCCACACGCACACUGGCUGUGAGCUUGAGGUUUUAGUAUUCAUGGUGCCCCUUUGCUGCCUGGUGCUAUGAGAGGCUAUGAAAAGUACUUUUGAGACUUUGGGAAUCCAGUUACUUUAGGGGUCCAGAACUGCUCCAAAAGCCUGAGGAUUCCAGAAGCUGCCUCCAGACCGCCUGGUCCAGCGUAAUAGCCACAGGCCACAUGUGGUCUUGGGCACUUCAAAUGUGCCUGAGUCCAAAUUGAGAGCUGCUUUCAGUGUAAACUACAGACUGGAUUUCAAAGACUUCGUACCAAAAGAGAAGAACGUAAAAAAUAUCUCAUUGGUACUUUUUAAUAUUGAUUACACGUUAAAAUGGUGAUUAUUUGGAUAUAUUAGACAGCAUAAAAUUAAUUUCACCUGUUCCCUUUUCAGUUUUUUAAAAUGUGGCUACUAGGCCAUGUAAAAUUACACGUGGCUCACGUUAUAUUGUUACUGGCCAUGUUGCUCCAUAGGUGAAUUCUGCUGUAAUUGUCAAGGUUUCCGUCAUCUUCAAGGUCUGUGACUGUGGGUGUCCUUUCCCACCCACUCCAUUCUCCCACCCUUCGUGCCCCCUGCACAUACUCCUAACUUCCUCCGUUCCUCAUGGGAGGGGCAGUGAGGAGGGCCCUGCUGAGCGCUGUCACAGUGUACAGCAGGUGCCCAGGCCCCCACAACAAUCCCUUCCCCAUGGGCUCUUGGUCCAGGGAGCUUUGCUAGAAGCUCCUCCUGACUUCUCCUAAAGAUUGUGGUUUGUGGGAUUCUGACUUUGGACAGACUGAAUCUCAUAUGAAGCUCGGUGGAGGGUUGUUGAGAAAAGGCCACUUAACCAAAGGCAGGGACAGAACAGAGGCAGCUUCGCAGGCUGAGAGCACUGUUUGCACUGGUUCACUCACAGUGUGGGCACAAAUGCCCCUUUUGGGCUUGCUUGCUGGGGUGAUGGGGGGUGUUUCUUUUCCCUUUCCCGUUCUGAGCUCAUCUCCAGGGACCACUACCAGCCAGCCCCACUCUGCUCACUCACAUUGCCCCUUCAAGGGUUCUGGAUUUAUCUCCACUGAGAAAUCAUUCCAGAUGAAUUCUAGAAGGGCUGACUAUUGUCUCUGGCUUUGCUCAGUCUAGGCACUCUACUUCCUUAAUUCAGUCAAUAAGUAUCUACUGAGGACCUGCUAUAUACCAGGCACUAUUCUAGGCACAGGGAUACAGCUGUGAAUAGACACGUUCCCUGCCUUGAGAGAGUUUCCAUGCUAGUUGAGAGACAGAAAAUAAGCGAUUAACAAAGAAAACUCCAAGCCAGGCACUAGUAGGGCAAUGAAGAGAAGGCAGUCAGGCUGGGGACAGUGGUGGGGGGACAGGCUGGGGCGUGGUCGGGGGGGGGUCUGAGAAACUGACUUCUGAGCAGAGCCCUGGACAGGCACCUAGAAGAAGGGCCUUCUCCCAGAGAGUGAACCAAGGUCCUGAGCCUUAUUCUACUGUGUUCUUCCACAUUUUUUCCCAGUAAGCAGCACUUCAGUUUAUACAAUAUAAAAUAUGCUGUGAACCCAUCCUUUUAUUUCAUGUCUUUGUUUUUUGGGGGUGGUGUACCUCUCAGACAGUGAGCUACAGGGAAGGGAGGAAGUCAAUUUAUAAUCAACAAAUCUGGCCGGGCGCGGUGGUUCACGCCUGUAGCCUGUAAUCCCAGCACCUUGGGAGGCCAAGGUGGGCGGAUCACCUGAGGUCAGGAGUUUGAGAUCAGCCUGGCCAACAUAGUGAAACCCCGUCUCUACUAAAAAUACUAAAAUUAGCUGGGUGUGGUGGCACACGCCUGUAAUCCCGGCUACUCAGGAGGCUGAGGCAGGAGAAUCCUUGACUCUGGCAGGCGGAGGUUGUAGUGAGCCAAGAUCACAUCACUGCACUCCAGCCUGGGUGACAGAGCGAGACACUGUCUCAAAACACAAACAAACAAACAAAAAUAAUUAACACAUCUACCCAAGGGCCAGAGAGGGUAAGCUGCAGAAGACUGUCUGCCUCCGAAACCCACCUUCUUCCCCUAGCAUUCCCCUCCUCUUCCUGGCUACAAGAGAAGGCUGAUCCUGGAGGUUCUUUCUCAAAAGGCCUGGCCCCGCCCACACUCUGACCUACAGUUCAGUGCUGGCGGCAAUGAGAGCAGAGCCAUCAAGAAGGAGCUGGAGCCUGGCUUGGUCUUGAGGUGGACAGAAGGGAGGAGAAAAGUUAGUUCCCUAAACAUCAUUCACAUCUGAAGGCAAGAAUGGCAGCAGGUGGAUAUCAUCAAUGCUAAUUUGAGCUACAGGUCCUGAGAGCUGGAGUCGGUUGGAGAAAGAUCCACAGGGGUCCUGGAGAGCUGUGUGUGCUUUAUUCACCCUCGGCUCUUAGUGCAGGGCACCGUUUGCUCCUCCUCUCCCCAGGAGACAGCAGCUCUGUGAGGACAGGGACCCCAGCGUGCUUAUGCCCAGGGCCUAGCAGUGGGUCCAGCACUCGGCACCCCAACUGCUAGAUGGAGGGCACCUGUGCUGGAGCACGGAGGCUGGGCAAGGCGGGGGCCCACUCUGGGAAGCACGGAGGUCGGGGGGCUCUGCAGACGUCUGCAGAGUUGCCUGGAUCCUCCCUUAAGGUGGGAAACAGGCAGGCUUAUAUUUUGACUUCUGAGUUACCUGGAGUAACUGAUGGCCAUUUUUUGCACCCCCAGUGCCCGGUUUAUGAUCUCUGAAAUGUGUAAGUCACUGUCCCUCCCUCCCAACCAGUCCUCCCAACCAGACCUGCACUCAGAAAGUCCCCCAGCCUGGCUCCCCUAGUGUUUGCUGCCAUCCACCUGCUGGGAAACUGCUAAGGGACGGUGAGGGUGUGUGAGCAGGAGGGCAUCCUACUGUGUGAUUUUAACCCCAAAGGAUUACCCCAAAGGAUUUAAAAAUCUAGACGGAUGCUUGUGCCUGUGUACAUAUACAUCUUGUACCCACAACUCUGGCAAGGUACGAUUCUAUCCUCCCCAGUCCCGUCCAUUAAACAGCUCAGAAAAAAUAAUCUGCACCCCCUCCCUCCUCCAAGCCUUCAGCAGCUGCCGGUCCCCUCCCACCUUCAGCUCAGCUCUGCAGAUAGCAGGGGCCUCUUGAAGUUCAGACAUUAAUUACCCAGUCAGAAGAUUUUUCAAAAUUACAAGGCAUGGCCCCAGGAGAUAAGAGGGAGGAGGAGGAGCAGGCGGGGGAAGGAGAUGGGAGGGCAAGCCGUCCAGGGCUGCGAAGGCGGGGCUGGGGGCUGGGAAGGUGCCCCUCCCCUGGGGAGAGUCCCCCUACUGCCCUCACUGCCCCCACUCGCCAGGCUUGUGCCCUCUGCAGGGAACGCAGAGAACAGGGAUUUAUAGCUCGUGCUGGGCCCAUGCCCGAGGGUGCGUCUGUGGGGAGAGAAAGGGCUGGGGACAGGGAUGUAGGACUUUUCUUGUUGGUCCUGAGCAGAAAAGUUUUGACAUCACCAUCUCUUACCUCCCUACCUAAGCCUUAAAGUAGAAUUCCGGCUGGAAAAUGGUUUUGUGAAUUUAAAUUGUUUUCAAGCAAGGGGAGAUAGGCGAAAUCAUUCUCUCUCCCUAAUUAGGAGGAUGGAUGGAGCUGAGGACUCCCCGGGAGGGAACUGGAAGGAAGAUUUCACUGGGGGUCAGCAGGGCAGCUCAAUCUAUGAAAAAAUGCCAAAUAGUUGAUGUUUAUUAGGAAAAACUGCUCCCUGCUAUAUACCCUUCAUAAGGCUAGUUAAUUCCCCCGUGAGCACAUGCAUUCUGAAUCUCUGUAUUUCAGAGAAAAUACCCAAAGCUUGCACCCACACCACCUUCCAAAACAGGAUUAAAGAGAUGUCCUCCUGAGCCAUGUUGAGAUUGGUUUAGAAAUCUCUUGAGUUUUAAGACUGUUUAAAAACGGUUCUGGCUUGGAGACUGGUUUCCCUUUGGAAACCAGUGUCUGGUGGAAGCUGGUAUUUUUAUAACUCUAGGCUCUCUAUCAGAUCCUGUGUUACCAUGGUUGCUAAGGGGAACACUGGCUUCAAAUUUCACAUUUCAGUUUGCAGAGUCUGGCUAAGGAAGCAGAACAGUCAAAGGGUGGGGGCUGGGGAGAGGGUCGGGAGUGGAGGUGGGGUGGGUGGGAGACUCCAGUUCUAUCUUGAGGAGGUCAAGGAUCCAGGCAGCUUCAGAUGGGGCCGCUUCCGUGUGUUUAUGUGUGUAUGUUUGGGGCGUGGGGGUCUGGGUAGGUCGGCGUCACCCCGCUGAGUUAACUUCACUGUGUGUGCUGAGCGGAAGAGGGGAACGAAAGCUCUGGAGGGGACAAAGCGGGUGGGAAGUUAUUUCGGCGGAGGUUACAGGAAUGGUCGCUUAAGCUGGGGUAUUCAUAGCAGCAGCUGCUGGCCCUGCAGGGACUCCGAUGCUAAGCCAGUGCCCAGGGGCUGGGUACCUGGCCCUAGGAAGGCUACAUUCUCAGAGGAACAUUCCAGGCGGGGUCUGUGCCUAAGAUUAGGGCUGGAAUAAACUGUUCAUGCAGAAAGGUUCUCCUGAUUUUUCAAGCUGCAUUCUAGCCCUUCACUUCCUGCUAAGUCUUUUUGUUUGACCGUUACAGUCAGAACAAAUUUAAAGGCAAUCAGGAGCUGGGGAGUUGCUCUCUGCCGGGAUGCCCUUUGAGGUGGCUCUCCUGCCUCCUCGCCUCUUCCUCCAUCUGGGCUCCCACCUUCCCUCUCCUGCCCACGCUUUAUUUGGAGCACUGCACUCCUCCGGGCACUGAGUUACCCGUGGGCUCCUCUGGCUAGAGACUGCUCCAGAUUUAGUUGACUUUGUUAUCUCAGCACAUUUCUAGCAAGCAAUGUGUCCAGGAGACUUUCCAGUUUAAUAAGGAAGUAGCAUUUUUCUCAUUGUUUGUUGAAUGAAUAAAGGAAUGCUCCUUUGUUCCUUCCAUGGUGUUGCUUUCUGGCUUAAAACCUUUCCAAGGUUCUUGGAGUCAUCCUGCAUUCACUAGAACACCUCUGGUGAGAGCCGGAGCUGGCCACGGCUCGCUCAUCGGGCCCUCUCUUUACCACCCAGAUGGGCCAUGCUUAUUCUGGCCCCCACGCCUUGGCUCAAAGGCUCCUUCCUGGAGGCUUUCCCCAUUUCCCCCAUGCCUGUCCACAAUCCACUUUCCCUUAAGCCCCAGCUCCCCUGCCCUUUGUCCCCGGCGGCUCCCCACCUCCUUCCCCAUUCCAUUUCCCCACAUUCAUCCAGCUUACAAUCCAUCAUAAGUGUUCAUGGCUGCUUAAUUUCAGGAGGAUUGCAAGCUCUUCGCUGAAGGAUCACAACUUAUAUCCCUCCUUCUGGUACUACUAGGAAACUUCGCAGUUCAAUAAGAAGCAUUGUCUCAAACUAAAUCAUUGCUUGUUGAAUGAGCACAGACUCCGAGCAACAUGCAGCCGGGGUUCCAUGACAGAUGAGACCUAGCCUGUCCCCAGGUAGCAACGAAAGACUGAAAUGAUUUAAAAGCAACCAAGAAAGGGUCACAAGGCAUUAAUACAGCCACCUGGCAAAGAGCAUAUCUGGAGACAGACGUUGACAGCCCCGGGUGGACAUUAGUUCUAUAGGAUGUUGUAAGAGGAAUGAAUCCAGGCAGGGUGAGGAGGCGGUGGGAAGUGAGCCCGGCCCUGAAGGUGGGCAAGAGCCAGGCAAGAAGAGGAGAAAGAUUGUUCUCAUGGUGGGAGGAAUGCAAGGCCACCUAUGGAAAUACAAGUGGAGCAGUUUGGCUGGAGAAAGGGGUUGUGUUUGCUUAUGGAGGCCUUGGAUGCCCCGUUGGGAGAAUGGACCUCACUUUCUGGGGCUGACUGUGUUGCGAUUUUUUUUCUCUUGAGCCAUGCCUGGAACACGGUUUGUAUUCAACAGCAACACACAAACUGACAGUUCCCUGCAAGGCUGUCAUAUGCCACUUGCUUCACAGAAACACCUCGCUUAUUUUAAGCCUGAAAACAAAGCCACAGGAUGAGUAUUAUUCUCAUUCCUAUGCUACAGAUAAGAAAAUCGAGGUUUCAAAAGACGGAAGAAUGAGGUUAAAGUCCCACGGCUAGUAAGUGGCACAGCUGGGAUUCAAACUCAGGUCUCUCUGGCUCCUAAGGCUAUGCCCCUCACCCAAGGGUUUUUGGCUGGUCAGUGGAUGCUCACUGAAUGCACCUAGGAUGCUGAGACUAUGUUCCUUAACCUUGGCCGGACAUUAGAAUCAUUUGGAAAGCUUACAUAUCCCUGCCGAGCAAACCCCAUUUUCAGGAAGUUUGGUUUAAUUGGUUGAAGAAGGGGUCUGAGAGUUUGUAAUGUAGUAAAAGCUUCUCAAGUUGCAGGGCUGAAGAUAAUUCCCCAUGGAUCCAGCCAGCAAAUCUCUGCUCCCCAUCAGAGUUCAUUGUUACCCCUGGGGAACAGACUAUCUUGGUCACUUCUGGCCAAAGUGGGUCCUGCCCUGGCCUCUGCUGGGUAGCUGAAUGCCCUGCUCUUGGGAAAGGAGGAAUGGUCCGCCUGGAAAGGUGCCUCUGAAGAAUGUGUUGCUUGACUCUGUGAAAUAGCAGAGGCUCUCCACCCACACCCGCUUCAUCUCAGCCUUUUCCGAGGUCAGAUUUCCCCUGGAGCCAAAACAAUGUGAGCAAUUGAAUGCACACUCACGCAAAAAGUUUAAAAAGUGGCUCUCUCAUUGUUGCACAGAGCAAUUUCAUUUCCUGAGAAGCCUGACUUGCUGGCCUCUGUGUUCUCCUCCCUGGCCUGUGCCUGCCCACCUCCUCUAGGAGCGCAGCCAGUUGUGUCCCUUGGGGGCACCCCUCAGAGACACCCCUCAGAGGCAUCUGCCCUCUCCCUGCCCUUCCCUUGGAAAGGGCAGGGAGGGGCAGAUGGGAUUUCUGGGGCCUGGAGGGGAGAAGAGCCAGGGGGCAACCAGAGGGAGAGGUUGGUGGGGAUCAGGAGGUGGGUACAGAGAGAUGGGAGAUUCCUGGCAGAAAGCGCCCUGCCUUCCUCCUUUACUCCACUCCUGACCUCUGGCUAUGGCUGCUGGACUCCAAAGAGACAGGAGGGUUGGAAUUAUGGGUAGGGAUGAGCUGGGGGGAUUGGAUGGAGAGAAGAAAGGUGGGAUGUUCAGGGGAGAGAGAGGAUGAGAGGAAGUGGAGGAAAACAGGCGCAUGGAACUUUGUUGAAAAUUCCCCUGCUUGGCUGGGUGCAGUGGCUCACGCCUGUAAUCUCAGCACUUUGGGAGGCCGAGGUGGCCAGAUCACCUGAGGUCAGGAGUUUGAGACUAGCCUGGCCAACAUGGCGAAACCCCGUCUCUACCAAAAAUACAAAAAAUUAGCUGGGCGUGGUGGCGGACGUCUGUAAUCCCAGCUCCUUGAGAGGCUGAGGCAGAAGAAUCGCUUGAACCCGGGAGGCGAAGAAGGUUGCAGUGGGCAGAGGUUGCACCACUGCACUCCAGCCUGGGCGACAAGAGUGAAACUCUGUCUCAGAAAAAAUCAAAAAACAAAACAAAAAAAAAAAGGAGAGAAAAGAAAAUUCCCCUGCCAGAGAAAUUUUCAACAAAGGACUUUAAGUAAGGGGCUCAGAGAGAGGCAUUCAAUGAUAACCUAGAAGAGCCUCACAACAACACCACGGGAUCACAGAGGCACGGAGAGGCGGAGGAGGUGGAGAGCAUUGUAGGGUCAGGGAAUGAAGGCUCUAGACAAGCCAGACCCACAGCCUGGCAUGUUGGCUCAGAGAUACCAGCUGAUGGGGAGAUGACAACCCUUUGCUCAGGCCAUAAACAAUAAUUGCACCCCUCCUGUGUGUGCAGCCCUCAUAGUCACAGUUAGGCUGAGGACCUGGGCAGGAGAAAGAGGUCCUUAGAAUGCUAUUAUAAAAUGCUCAUGGGAUGUUUUUCCAUUUGUUUGUGUCUUUUUUCAUGUCUUAAAAUAAUAUGUUAUAGUUUUCAGUGUACAAGUUUUUUACUUCUUUGGUUGACUCUAUUCCUAAGUAUUUCUUUUGGAUGCAAUUGUAAGAUUGUUUUCCUAAUUUCCUCUUCAGAUAGUGCACAGAAAUAGAAAGGAUUUUUGUAUGUUGAUUAUGUUUUUUGCAAAUUUACUGAAUUCAUUUAUUAGUUCUAGCAGUUUGUGUGUGUGUGUGUGUGUGUGUGUGUGUGUGUGUGUGGAGUCUUUAGGAUUUUCUAUAUAUAAGAUCAUGUCAUCUACAAACAGAGACAAUUUUAUGUCUUCCUUUCAGAUUUGGAUGCUUUUUAUUUCCUUUUCUUGUCUAAUUGUUCUGGCUAGGAUUUCCAGUACUAUGUUGAAUAGGAGUGGUAAGAGUGGGGAUCCUUGUGUUAUUCCUGAUCUUUGAUUGGAAGAUUUAAUAUUGUGAAAAUGUUCACACUAUUCAAAGCAAUCUGCAGAUUCAAUGCAAUCCCUAUCAAAAUCCCAGGGGCAUUUUAAAAACAGAAGUAUAGAAAACAAUUCUAAGAUUCACUUGGAAAUAUAAAAGAGCCCAAAUAGCCAAAGCAAUCUUGAGUGAAGAAGAACAAAGCUUGAGGCAAUCACACUUCCUAAUUUCAAAAUGUAUCCCGAAGCUACAGCAAUCAAAACAGUAUGGUACUGGUAUGAAAACAGGCAUAUAGACCAAUGAAACAAAAUAGAGAGUCGAAAAAUAAAUCCACACAUUUACAGUCGACUGAUCUUCAACAAAGGUGCCAAGAACACACAAUGGGGAAAAGACAGUCUCUUCAAUAAACGGUCUUGGGAAGACUGGAUAUCCACACGAAGAAGAAAUUAUACUCUUAUUUCAUACCAUAUACAAAAAUCAACUCAAAAUGGAUUGAAGACUUAAAUAUAAGACCUGAAACUGUAAAACUACUAGAAGAAAACAUAAAGAAAAAGCAUCUUGACGUUGGUCUGGACACUUUUUUUUUUUUGGAUAUGACUCCAAAAGCACAGGCAACAAAAGCAAAAAUAGACAAGUAGGAUUGCAUCAAACUAAAAUGCUUCUGCACAGCAAAGGAAAUAAUCAGCAGAGAGAAAGACAAAGUAUGGAACAGGAGAAAAUAUUUGCAAACCAUACAUCUGAUAAAGAGUUAAUGUCCAAAAUAUAUAAGGAACUCCUAAAACUCAAUGGCAAAAAACCUAAUAACUCAAUUUAAAACUAGUCUAAGAAUUGGAAUAGACCUUUCUCCAAAGAAGACAUGGAAAAUGGCCAGCAGGUAUAUGAAAAGAUGCUCAAUGUCAUUAAUCAUCAGGGAAAUGCAAAUUAAUUAAAGCCACAAUGAGAUAUCACCUCAUACCUGUUAGAAUGGCUGUGAGCAAAAAAAACAAAAGACAAACUGGUAAGGAUGGAGAGAAAUUAGAACCCUUGUACACUGUUGGUAGAAAUGCAAAAUGGUGCAUCUGCUGUGGAAAACAAAAUGGAGGGUCCUCAAAAACUUAAAAAUAGAGCUGCCAUAUGAUCCAGCAAUCCCGCUUCUGAGUAUUUAUCCAAAAGAGCUUGAAUCAGGAUUUUGAAGAGAUAUAGCACUCUCAUGUUCAUUGCAGCUCUAUUCACAAUAAGCCAAGACACGGAAACAACCCAAAUGUCCAUCAGCAGAUAAAUGGAUAAAACAAUGUGUGUGUGUGUGUGUGUGUGUGUGUGUGUGUGUUGGGGGUGGGGGUGGGGAGAUGAAGAGUGGUUGGGUAAUGGGUACAAACAUACAGUUAGAUGGAAUCAGCUCUAAUGUUUGAUAGCACAGUAGGGUGACUAUGGUUAACAACAAUGCAUUAUAUAUUUCAAAAUAGCUAGAAGAGAGGACUUGAAAUGUCCCUAAGACAUAGAAAUGAUAAAUACUCGAGGUGAUGGAUAUCCUAAAUUCCCUGACCUGAUCAUUACACAUUCUAUGCAUGUAACAAAAUAUCACAUGUACCCCAUAAAUAUGUACAAAUAUUAACCUCCAAGAAAAAAAUUUUAAAGUGGUAUAUACAUACGAUGGAAUACUAUUCAGCCUUUACAAAGAAGGAAACUGCAAUAUACAACAACAUGGAUGAACUCUGAUGACAUUACUAAAUGAAAUAAGCCAGUCACAGAAGAACGAAUACUGCAUAAUUCCAUUUACAUGAGGUAUCUAAAAUAGUCAAAUUCAAAGAAGCAACGAAUAGUGGUUGCCAGAGGCUAGGGGGAAGUGCAGAUGGGGAGUCGCUAAUCAAUGGGUGAAAGUUUAAGUUAUGCAAGAUGCAUAUGUUCUGGAGAUCUGCACAACAUUAUGGCUAUGGAUACAAUACUGUACUUUAUCCUUAGAAACCUGUGAAGAGGGUAGAUCCAUAUUCAGUAUCCUUACCACAGUAAAACUAAAAAUAGAAAUUCAAAAAUAUUUAAAAAAUAAAAAGGAGCUUGCUAAGCAAAUAUGAGUUGUAAAUAGCAGAGCAAGGAGACUCCUGCAGCUACAGAUGACCAAUAAUCUUCUUCAAUCACUUUGAAAACCACCUCGGCAGAAACUAUUUGUUCUUAAACAAGAAAAGCACACAUUGAAAAUUCUUCUUUUUCAUCUCUGGAAGAAGGAUCUCUGAUUGGCAUGUUAGUUGGGGCAAAAAUGGAAUCAAUUCCACCAAGAUCUACUGGGAUCCUACCAUAUAGGUGCUGAGUUAUGCACCAAGAAAACAAACAGAGUAGCCCCUGCUCUGCCUGCAAGGCAGUGAAAUGGGGUGGUCAGAUCUGGAUUCCAGGACUGAUUCUACCGCUUGGUGGCUGUGUGGCCCUGAGCAAGUUGCCUGACCUCUCUGCUCUCCUCUGAAAAAUGGGGAUGAUAAUCUUCAAAGUGCUGUCUGAGUUAAAAGAGAAAAGAACACACGAGGCACUCGAUUGAGAUGGAGGCGUCCAUGCAGUGAGAUGUGCUGCUACCGUUACUGAACACUACUACAAGGCAACGUGAAGAGGCUGGGGUGAGGAUGGAGCAGUAAGGACAGAGGACACUUCCAGGUCCCUUAGGAGGAAGCUGUUGGUGUGCUGAGGGGGUGCCACACAGAAAAGGUGACUUCAAACUGGGCCUAGGAAGAAGUGUCAGGGACAGGAAGACAGAGAGGCAGAGAUGACUCCAAAGUUUCAAGCUUGAGUAACUUAAAGAAUGGUUAAUUUGAUGAGGUCAGGGUGUGAAAGGAUGUCCCCAGGGACUCCCAGAGAGCUGGGUGUCCUCCAGGCUGAGGCGCCUGGGGACUAAGCACAUGCUUGAGCUAAAGGAGCGUGGGGACCGAGUAAGCUUGGACCUCAGAAUGAAGGGGGCCUCUGUGAGCACAAGGACCCCCAGACGGGCUGGAUGGUGAGGACUUUGCAUCUAUCCCUUGGGUUUGUCCUCACCCUCAGCAAGACCCUUCACUCAGAGAUGGCCUGUGGGUUUGGGUUUUACUCAGAAGCAGCAAGGAAAGCACUGCAGGGGAGCCCCGGGGGUACAGACGCAGGGGAUGGAGUGAGUGACUUGACAGCGGAAAGGCCGUGGCGUGGGUUCUGGGGCUGCUACCUGGCUGCAGGGAGGCAGGCAGCAUGGGUGGGGGCCUGCAUGAGAGCUGCACUGAGCAGGGGGUCUUGGGGUGCAGUUCUGACCACAUCCUUUUGGAGGGUCCUGAGGUAUGACCUGGGACAGGUGUAGUGGGCAGCUGGAAAUGUGGGCCUGCGGGUGGUUCUGGGAGUUGGGGGGAUCUCAGGGCAAAGUGGGUGCUGUGGAUUUGGGGUCAGACAUCUACAUGGCCCCAGGGGGAAAGCCUAAGCUUUUCCAGCAUGGAGGGGGCUGCAGCUGUGCCUUUGGCUCUGGAAACUUCCAUAAGCCGGCUCAACCUGCUUUAGGGAUGUAGGUCAAGCCUGGUUAUGAGGCAGCAAAUGGCUUGAAGAAUUCAGGGGUCCCUACGGAGCUGCGAAAGGCAACAGGCUGUUCACAAGGAUUGUUGAGAUCCGUAGGGCACCCCUUUAAGUCCCCAUCUUUUCUUUUGGCCCAGUUUUAGGGAAGCCAAGAUUUCUCCUGGAAAGAGCCCUACCUGGAGUUCAGGAGCUCCAGACCAGCUCUGGCAUGGACCAGCUGUUUGUCCCUGGGCAGGACACUCAGCCCAAGUAGCCCUUUAAGAUUAGGCAUGUGCUCAGCCCCUAGGCCCCAUCAGCCUAGAUGACAACUAGCUCUCUGCCAGACGCCGUGCCCCGGGCACUUCCUUCCAUCCUCCGGCCUCGUUGUCCCUAGUGCACUUAGCUGUCUCUCCAUGCCUUGCCACCCUCCCUGCACCUUGCAGAGAAAGCAGCAUGAGCACCAUUUACAGAUGAGGAAGCCAAAGCUCAAAGCAGGUAAAUGCUUCCCAACGUGGUGCAGUUGAUGAACAACAGAGCCAGGAUGUGAACCCUGCUGCAGCCCGGCCCUAGUUAGCUUGGUACAUGGGGCUCUGCCCUCUUCUUUUACAAAUUGGAGAAGACCAUAGGUGAUUUAUUUAUUCUUCAAGUUUACCAUGAGCAUUGGAUGGGUCUGUGUUUGUCAAACUGGCCCGAAAAUUUGAAUGCAUCCAACAAGUGUGCGUUAGGCGUGGCUCUUUGUUCUUGUCUGCACACAUCUCCUGGCACCUCCGGAUCUCACACUGGAAUAUUUGCACUACCUCAGGCGGUGUUAAAAGUGUCCCAGCAGCCAGGGCCGGCGCUCGGCUACAGCCUUGCCUCCCUCUCGGAGGAGCAGGUGACGACAACACCAGGAGGUGUCCAGAUCACGCAGAGGGAACGUGUUGGGGCAAUUCAGGUCACUGCCCUAGAACAGUGCUGCUCCCUGUCUCGAGGUGGGUUGUCCAGGGCACAGGGCAAUGCAGGCAAGGAUGGGAGGACCCAAGAGGCCACGCAGGCCCGCUCCUAGCCUCCAUGUCAUUCCAAAGGGUGCAAAAAGCAGAGCUGCCAGCCCUCCUGGAGCUGCAUUCUGAGCUCAAGGCACUUUGAGAGUGAAACAAAGUCAGGAGAGGCCAUUGUCUGAAUCUGCGAAACAAAUCUGAUUUCAAGUGCAUUUGUUAAGAAAUGUGGUUUGGGUACAUGGAGUGGCAGAGGCUCAUGGGUUUACAAAACACCCGAGAGAGAACUGUGUGCUCUGUGCUUGUCUGGAAUGAGCAUGCUAUUGUUCUAUAAACGGAUGCUUCAAAAACACUCAUAAAUACACUCCCUCCCUUCUCUUAAAUUGCUCUAUUAUUGUCUUUCUUUCAAAACCAUAAAGAUGCCCCUUGACCCCACAGCUCUCCUUCCCUGCUGCCAUUCACAGAAAAACUUCUCGAAAGACGUGUCCACACUCCUGUCCUCACCUCCGCUGACACCCAGGGCCCGUGACCUGCUUGUUGCCAAACCCAGGACACUUUUCUGUCCUGGUCCUUUGAUUCUCAGGAGGCUGUUCCUCCUUGUGUCCUGGUAGCCCCUGCAGAGGCCUGCCGGUGGUGGGAGGGUACAACAUGGGGGAGGCGUCCAGGUCCCAGUGAAGGGCUGCUGUGAGGGUUCUUACACGCCCCCUUCCUCUCCCUCUCCAUCUAUACUCUCUUCCUGCGUGGUUCCAUUUGGUCCCCAGCUUUGAGCACCAGGUGCAUAUCGAUACUUCCCAGAACCCUCUAUCCCCUACCUCCAUGCGUGACCUCUUCAGGAUCUCUAGACCCUUCCACCCGGCCAACCUCCGGGCAGUUCCCUAGGGACAGCUAACAGGCGACUCAAACAUAACUGACUCUUGCUUUUCAUCCCCAUUCUAUUUCUCAUCCAGUAUCCUCCAUCUCAGAAAAUGGGGCCACCAGGCUGGUAAACGGGGAGCCCAUGUCCCCUCCUCCCUUCCCUCCAACUCACAUUACCGAGUCCUGCUGGCUCUAACUCAGAAAUUCAACUAGAGCCUAAACGUGCUCUUCGCCCUCACUCCGAGGCUGUCUUCCAAGCCACCAACCUCUUGCUGCGCAGCCUAAGCAGCCCCACUCGGCUUCCAGCUUCCACUUUGCCCCCUUUCAAUUCUCUCCCCUGACAGCAGCCAGAGGGGUGUAGAAAGUGAGUUAUAAUAUCUGGCAGUGCAACCACCUGCUAAAUUCCUGCUUCUCAAAAGUUCCUUGGUCAUUCUUGUUUCUUUCUUUUUCAGAUGAAAUUUAGAAGAAAAUAUGUUUUCAUAGAAUAAAUAAUCCAGUGGCAAACCAGUCCAAUCCAAUUCCAAGAUCGCUCAUUGAGACAACACUUACCAUAGGCCUCCCCUCUGCAGCCAGUGCUCCCGAUUGGGAAUGACUGGAGCCUCAGUUCACAACACCCCACGGGGGAAGGGGGUGCUGGUUCCCUUUAUAUAAACCCAACGAAGAAAGACCUGGCUUUGGGGAGCAGAAGUGACUGCUGUUGCACAUCUCUUUGCUGAAGGAUGGGCCCCCUUUUUUUUUUUUUGGAGACCGAGUCUCGCUCUGUCGCCCAGGCU